rnacentral:rRNA from 12 species
GUUGACCUCGGAUCAGGUAGGAAUACCCGCUGAACUUAAGCAUAUCAAUAAGC